AUCUUCAUCCCCUGCGGGAGCCGGAUUUUUCUUUGUGGACAAAAAGGACAAGACUCUGCGACCCUGUAUCGAUUACCGGGGUCUGAACGACAUAACGGUGAAAACCAGAUCUCAAACAGCAGUUUUUGGUAGAAGUUGAUACGUCUGAUGCCGGUAUAGGAGCCGUGCUCUCUCAGAACUCUCUCAAGGAUGGUGCUACCAUCAGUCUGUCAUCUGGGUCUCACCCUGAAACCAACGGCCAAACCGAGAGGCUGAACCAGGACCUGGAGACUGGGCUCCGAUGUCUCGCUUCACUGGAGCCACGAUUCUGGUCUCAGAAACUGGUUUGGGUCGAAUUCUCUCACAAUUCCCUCCCUUCUGGAUCCACUGGUCUAUCGCCUUUUCACGUUGUGCAUGGUUACCAAUAUUUCCUGUCAUAGCCCCAGAGUCCACAGUUCCAGCGGCAUUGACAUUGGUGAGACGCUGCAGGAGGACCUGGGAGCGAGCCCGCCAGAUGCUGCUGCGCCAGGAACAGUCCUACAAAACCGCUGCUGACUGUCGGAGGACAGUCAAAUUUGUGCUGGUACCCGAAUACCCGAACUACAAAGUGGGUCAGCGGGUUUGGCUCUCUACCAAACAUAUUCCCCUCCGGGUGGAGUCCAAGAAGCUCGCUCCCAGGUUCGUUGGGAGCUGCAGCUCAGUGAACACAUACACAUGUUAGUGGAACACACUGGAGCAGGGGGCAGCUGAAGCGCCCGGGGAGCAUUUCGGGGUACCAGUGUCUUGCUCAAGGACACCACAGCCGUGAGUCCGGGGGAUGUUGGCAGAUGGUCCAGUCGGGGUCUUGAACCUAGGUCCCCCACCAACUUUGUUCUGGCCAGAACAAAGAGGUCAGAGCAUAUUACUCUACACUCGCUCCCACUCAGCUUUAAAAUUGAUUUUAAAGUUCUGCUACAGGUCUAUAAAUCACUAAAUGGUUCAUCCAUCCAUUCUCAACACCGCAUAUCCUGUUCAGGGUUGCGGGGCGCUGGAGCCUAUCACAGCUGACUUUGGACGAAAGGCAGACUACACCCUGAACUGGUUGCCAGUCAGUCGCAGGGCACAUAUAGACACAGACAACCAUUUUCAUUCACAUUCACACCGUCACUGAGUGGGAACUGAACCCACCAUAGUCAGCCGAGUGUACCACUACACCAUCAGUGAUCACUAAAUAGUUUAGGUCCUGAAUACAUGAAAUAAAUGCUAAUGGCAGGCGGAGGAAGUAGAUGAGAAUGGUUUAUGAAGUAAAAGUUCAGGGGGUAGGAUAUCCGAGGAGUGAUGGUGGUCCGUUGGAACAGGGAAGGUGCAGGAAGUGGUAGCAUGGGCAGGUGGAAAAGUUUGACGGCCUAGCUAGAGCGGGCAGCGAAGCGGGAGACACGGAAGGCCCACUGGGGACGGAGGAGGGCACAAGAGGUUUAGUACAAUUGCGAGUAGCCAAGUGUCACGGACAUGCGCUCCGCAAAUCGAGGCACCACAGAGACUCGCAACCACUUGAGAACCCUACUCCUCCACGCUGCCCUGCUGUGAGACGGCGACUAGGACUGGGCCUGGUGUACGACAAGUGGACCUUAACCUAAUUAGCAGCUUCCCGUCAAAUCUGGAUUCCUGUCUUCAAAAGACGCCUUCCCGGACCAAAUGGUUGGGGAAGACUAUGUGGUUAAUAUUCACCCAUGCGCGUGAGGCUCCACCCACUGGCUUUGAGAGGAACUGCAAGCGCCAGAACUUGUGGACGUGCCUUUGAUGUUUGUUGACGGAAGAUAACAUGUCUGUUUUUAUAUGUUGCAAACUCUGUAGAAAUAUUCCAAAUGUAUGCCUUGGUGUCUGUGUCGCCAUUCUCACUUUGACAGGUCCUCUGCAAGAUUUUUUAAAGCUGUUCAUGAUUUGAAAUCAAACAGUACGAAAUAUUGUAUUGAACAAUAAGCAACCGAUCUGUCACAACCAAAGUUUAAACAAUGAUUCUCUGCGUGAGAGGACAAAGUUGGGAGUGUUUUCGAUUAAUAUUAUUUUAAAACCUAUUUAGGCAAAUUUGUAGACUUCUCCAAGUCAGCACCCCCUCUUCCUACACCCCGCCCUUGGGGUAUUUAACUCUAAACUCACACCUUUCUGAGUAGAGUUGAGUUGAGGCUUAUUUUUCCUUCUUCUCGUACCUCCGGCCACCCUUCCCCCUUCUUUUGUUCCCUUUUUGUCCUCGGCGCCUCCGGGCGCCACCACGUGCGCGAACACCCGCCCGCAACCAAGCCGGCGGUGUUUUUGAUCGAAGAAGUCGACCAUGCGGCUCCGAUCGCUUUCCCUAGCCACGAUCAGUCGGCGGGGCCUCAACGAGCAACUACCGGCAUCCCGGUCGGGUCCCACAUGCCUCUGAGGGCCAGAGCUCGGCCCGCCACCAGGUCAACCGGCAGGGAAGUUAUGAGCGCGUCCCAAACGGGACAAGAACUUUCCUUUCCUAUUUGUUUUUAUUUUUGUGCAUCUGUUUUUUCUUCAACCGAACCUUCUUCUUUUCCGCCUGAUGUCCGGAGGCAGACCACACCCAAAGACCAGCUGAUCUGCGUUCGUGAGUCGACACUGCAAUCCUUACUAUGAUGUACAACAUCAGUGCGUAAUAGUUGUGGGGAAAUUACUAGCUUCAUACGAAAUACCAACUUUGCCUUCUCUCGCUCUGACUCAACACAUUAAACGCUCACAUGCUCAUUUAUUUUAGCCCAGCGACCACACACAAUGUGCUCUUUUCCAUUUUCAUACGCCUUAUUUUCUUUCUUUUGUUUACCCUUAGUGUUAUUUUCUUGCUACAGUUUGUAGUUGUAGUUGUUUGUUUCA